GAUGAACGCUAGCUACAGGCUUAACACAUGCAAGUCGAGGGGAAACGAUAUUGGAAGCUUGCUUCCGAUAGGCGUCGACCGGCGCUCGGGUGAGUAACGCGUAUCCAACCUGCCCACCACUUGGGGAUAACCUUGCGAAAGUAAGACUAAUACCCAAUGACGUCCAUAGAAGACAUCUGAAAUGGAUUAAAGAUUCAUCGGUGAUGGAUGGGGAUGCGUCUGAUUAGCUUGUUGGUGGGGUAACGGCCCACCAAGGCGACGAUCAGUAGGGGUUCUGAGAGGAAGGUCCCCCACAUUGGAACUGAGACACGGUCCAAACUCCUACGGGAGGCAGCAGUGAGGAAUAUUGGUCAAUGGGCGAGAGCCUGAACCAGCCAAGUAGCGUGCAGGAUGACGGCCCUAUGGGUUGUAAACUGCUUUUAUAAGGGAAUAAAGUGAGCCUCGUGAGGCUUUUUGCAUGUACCUUAUGAAUAAGGACCGGCUAAUUCCGUGCCAGCCGCCGCCGUAA
rnacentral:rRNA from 1 species